GAUGAACGCUGGCGGCGUGCCUAAUACAUGCAAGUCGAGCGAACGGAUGAGAAGCUUGCUUCUCUGACGUUAGCGGCGGACGGGUGAGUAACACGUGGAUAACCUACCUAUAAGACUGGGAUAACUUCGGGAAACCGUAGCUAAUACCGGAUAAUAUUUUGAACCGCAUGGUUCAAAAGUGAAAGACGGUCUUGCUGUCACUUAUAGAUGGAUCCGCGCUGCAUUAGCUAGUUGGUAAGGUAACGGCUUACCAAGUCAACGAUGCAUAGCCGACCUGAGAGGGUGAUCGGCCACACUGGAACUGAGACACGGUCCAGACUCCUACGGGAGGCAGCAGUAGGGAAUCUUCCGCAAUGGGCGAAAGCCUGACGGAGCAACGCCGCGUGAGUGAUGAAGGUCUUCGGAUCGUAAAACUCUGUUAUUAGGGAAGAACAAAUGUGUAAGUAACUGUGCACAUCUUGACGGUACCUAAUCAGAAAGCCACGGCUAACUACGUG
rnacentral:rRNA from 1 species